GUCCACACAGUAAACGAUGAAUACUCGCUGUUUGCGAUAUACAGUAAGCGGCCAAGCGAAAGCAUUAAGUAUUCCACCUGGGGAGUACGCCGGCAACGGUGAAACUCAAAGGAAUUGACGGGGGGCCCGCACAAGCGGAGGAACAUGUGGUUUAAUUCGAUGAUACGCGAGGAACCUUACCCAGGCUUAAAUUGCAGAUGAAUAUGUGGGAAACCAUAUAGCCAGCAAUGGCAUCUGUGAAGGUGCUGCAUGGUUGUCGU
rnacentral:rRNA from 1 species